GAGUAACGCGUAGGUAAUCUACCCUUAUAUUUGGGAUAACAUUGGGAAACUGGUGCUAAUACCGAAUGGUCUUAUUUUAAUGCGAGUUAAAUUGAGUAAAGGUGGCCUCUGUAUAUGCUACCGUAUAGGGAUGAGCCUGCGUACCAUUAGCUAGUAGGUGGGGUAACGGCCCACCUAGGCGACGAUGGUUAGCGGGUCUGAGAGGAUGAUCCGCCACACUGGAACUGGAACACGGACCAG
rnacentral:rRNA from 1 species